UCCGGUAUGGUGUAACGGCUAACAUUGCCGCCUUUCACUCACUUGCGAUCACAUGAUGGCGGCCGCGGCAGCUCGGGGUUCGAUUCCCCGUACCGGAA